UCCUUGUCGGGUAAGUUCCGACCUGCACGAAUGGCGUAACGACUUCCCCGCUGUCUCCAACAUAGACUCAGUGAAAUUGAAUUGCCUGUCAAGAUGCAGGCUUCCCGCGGUUAGACGGAAAGACCCCGUGCACCUUCACUACAGCUUCGCACUGGCAUCAGGCACAACAUGUGCAGGAUAGGUGGUAGGCUUUGAAGCAGGGACGCCAGUCCCUGUGGAGCCUCCCUUGAGAUACCACCCUUGUUCUGCUUGAUGUCUAACCGCGGCCCGUUAUCCGGGUCCGGGACCCUGCGUGGUGGGUAGUUUGACUGGGGCGGUCGCCUCCUAAAGCGUAACGGAGGCGCGCGAAGGUUGGCUCAGAGCGGUCGGAAAUCGCUCGUUGAGUGCAAUGGCAGAAGCCAGCCUGACUGCAAGACUGACAAGUCGAGCAGAGUCGAAAGACGGCCAUAGUGAUCCGGUGGUCCCGAGUGGAAGGGCCAUCGCUCAACGGAUAAAAGGUACUCCGGGGAUAACAGGCUGAUACCGCCCAAGAGUUCAUAUCGACGGCGGUGUUUGGCACCUCGAUGUCGGCUCAUCACAUCCUGGGGCUGAAGUCGGUCCCAAGGGUAUGGCUGUUCGCCAUUUAAAGUGGUACGCGAGCUGGGUUUAGAACGUCGUGAGACAGUUCGGUCCCUAUCUGGUGUGGGCGUUGGAUGAUUGAUGGGAGCUGCUCCUAGUACGAGAGGACCGGAGUGGACGAACCGCUGGUGUUCGGGUUGUGAUGCCAAUCGCAUUGCCCGGUAGCUACGUUCGGAACGGAUAACCGCUGAAAGCAUCUAAGCGGGAAGCCGGCCCAGAGAUGAGUCAUCCCUGACAGUUUAACUGUCCUGAAGGGUUGUUUUAGACUAAGACGUUGAUAGGCAGGGUGUGGAAGCGUUGUAAGGCGUUAAGCUAACCUGUACUAAUUGCCCGCGAGGCUUAAU
rnacentral:rRNA from 14 species